AAAAAAAAAAAAAAAAAAAAAGUUGUACAAUACACUAAUAUAGAACAAUCGAUCUAAUACUUGACAAAUUAUAUUGUUCCAAGUUCAAUGUAUGUCGUACUUAUGUGUCUAUUAUGCAUUUAUGCCUAUGUCACAAGUUUUAAUUUGACAUGAUUGAAUAGCUGUCAUUAAUUAAUCCAUUGUCGACCAACUUUACAGUUUACAUGUUCAGAUUAACUCAUUAGAUAGAUAGAUAGAUAGAUAUUUUACCUUCCAAUCUUAAUCUUAGAGUUUACCUACAUUGUUUUAAUUUCUCUAUCUCAUGUUAAUUCUACAUAUCUUUAUAGGAAAUAUUUUUAAGAUAUAAGUUGAGCAGGAAAAAAAAAUACCUUUUUUGUCAUCUUUUUUAUUUUUUAAUCUUAUGGUGAAAAAAAAUUCACCAUACAUUCUAAAUUUACCUUUUGUGAUUCACAUAUGUGAUUUUCUGUUUAGUGUUAUUACAUUAAUUACAGUUCAACGAAACUCAUAAUCAAAUUAAUAUCUAACAAGUGCUAGGAUUAAUCAAUCUCAACUCGUGGCAUCAUCUCACCGUUGUUUUAGAUCUUCUAAUCGUCUCUCCACCAAUCAGAAAUUCAGAAUCCUCGAUCUGUGGUACUCAUGUACCACGACUUUCCACGUCACUCUUUCUUCUUGGCUGUCUAUGUAUAUAUAUACUUCAUCGAUCUAUCUCCUCCCAUUCUCUUGGAAACCACACCCAAAUCUUGCCUUGCUUACCAGAUCUUUCUCGAGAAUCCUGGUCUAUAGUUGUAUAACCCUAUUAUUAUAUAUGGGAGAGUCGUCGGAUGCCUCCUACAUCCAAAUGGUAAGUAAGCUCGAUCAAUAAUGAAGCUUUAAUUUUAAUUAGAUGAAUCUAGCUAAUAUGUUUGAUUUAAUUUUUCAGGUGCAGCACUUGAUCGAGAAUUGCCUUAUCUGUAAUAUGAGCAGAGAGGAGAGUGUUGAGGCAAUCUCCAAGCACGCAGACAUCAAACCUGUCAUAACAAACAUAGGUCUGACUCUCUCAUCUGAUUUUAUAUAUAUGGAUCGUCAUUGUUGAUUAAUUCAAAUUAAUCACAUGCAGUGUGGAAGGAGCUGGAGAAGGAGAACAAGGAGUUUUUCGAGGCCUAUGGAAAAGAAAGAGAGAAGAAGAUUGUGGAGAUGAAGGCAGUGGAGACAAUUCAGAAGAUGCUCUCUCAAAUGACCACCAAAGACGACAACGAUUAAUCAAUUAAUUACUGUUUUAACUUGUAACUCUACAACGUACCUAAACUAGCUAGGUUCUCUCAUCUCUCACUUUUCCUCUCCAAUUAAUGUACGUAAUAUCUAGUAGUUUAUGUGCAUGAGAUGACUUCAAUAGAUUGCCACCUUAUCAACUUAUCAUAACAUAACAUUGGUCUUUUGAUUGGUUGAUUUAAAACAAGAUGAUUACAGAUUUACAGGACCAUCUAAUUAUCAAUCUCUGACUCACUGUCAAACCAUCUUAAUUCUCACUUACUUAUCCAGCUGUUUCGCCCGAUUUCGUAUCGAUUAUGUAUAAAUUGUAUCAGAAAGUUCAAAACCAGGACCACCCUGCUGCCAACUGCCUCUUCCUUACAUUUACUAAUAAUUAAUGAACAAACCAAUUUUUUUUUUUAAAUGUAUUGAUGUAGAAAUACAAGAGGUUUCCAAAUUUAAAUGAAGGGAUUAUUGCAUUUCAACUUUCAACUAGUCUACCACUGAAACACUGAUGUAUGGAUGUAUACAAGUCAUGAAUUGAAAGUAAGCAGAUGAUGCUAACUACUCAUCAAGUGGGGAUCUACCACAGAACAAUUUAGAUCUUCUCUAGAUUGUGAUCGACGACUCUGAAGCUUCAUCUUACAUCGGUGAGGUGGCCAAAUUAACCCUUUGCCAUUAUCCAAAUAUGUUUGGCCGAGUGGAGUUGUUGUGUGAGACAUCAACUGUGUUAUAGAAGAAUACUUGUGUGAGGCGUUAUCUUCUGAUGGGUCAUAACAAGUUUCCAUCAGUUCAGUGGAAUUGCUGCCAAUACCAUUACUUGAUCCGCACCCAGAACUGUCGGAUAUCUUUAAUUUACUAUCACCUUAUAUAAGAAAAAACAAUUCAGAAAAAUUACCUUAUAUUUAGGUUUGUUAAUAAUAAAAGGAGUAGAAGAGAAAUUCAUUUACCUGAAUCGCCGCUACCCCAACGCAGUUUGAAAGGGAAAAAAAAGCUAUGAACACAACCACUAGACACACUAUUGUGCCUGAAAAGUGGAAGAUUCGCUCUUCGGAAACUUCUUCUCAACCAUUUUCCAGCAAACGAUAUAGCACAAAAAACAACUAAAGGUAACGGCAGAAUCAUAAUAAAUAUCAGUGUUUUCAUCUUCCGUGGUAACAUUCCAUGCCAUGGAAACAACAUCUUACUUUGCAAUGCUUUCCCAGCCUCAAAUAAUGCAACACCAAGUGUCCAAGUAAUGCUACCAGAUCCAAUAACCACAUUUGAAUCUCUGAUAUGCAGGCCAUCUCUCAGUAAUGAAGCAAUAUACGGUGCCCUAAAGCAAUAUUGUUCAAUGAAAGGUUGUGGAACAACACUACUUUUGGCAACUUCCCAUGUUUUUUCACAAAAUUCUUGACCUUUUUGCAACAAAUCAUCUGAAGAAGCAUCAUAUGUCAAGUUAAAAAACUUAAAUGCUACAAAAAAACCUGACAUUGCAUAAAAUUUUCCACGUGGUUGAGGCAAAUCGCCAAUGAGAGCACAAGGCUGAAUGUCACAAUUGAUUACAGGGGAUGAAUCUGACCAUUCAGACAAAUUCACGGCAACCUUUGCAAGAUCGUUGCAUUCUUCCCAAUUAGGAUCACCGAUCAAUUGAACGAUAAAUCCUCUACGACCUUUCUUUGCACUCUUAUCUUUGACUAAAAAUCUUCCUCCUUCCUUGUCUAAUGCCGAGCAUUGUGUACAUAUAUAUUGUUGCCUGUACCCAGUAUGCAGGCAAGGAUGUUUCAACACCAUUCCUCCACUUUUCAACUCUUCAAUGUCCUUCCUACGGUGUUGCCUGAUAAGAUGCACCACGGAUUUGUCAAAUGCAUCAUUCAGACCAUAACCUGACAGAGAAUAUGCACUGAGAUAGUGCUGAAAUUUCCCUAUGUUUAGUUUCAAACUCGUUUUAUCAUGCAAAGGAUCCUUGGUUUCAAAAGUAACUUGUAGAGACGAACCACCUAGAUCAAGCGAACCGUAUGUUUCUUUAGCAGGCACACUGCCUAAGAUGUUCAUGUGAGAAUUAAGUGCUAUCCAUCCGUAAUAAGCUUCCUCCAUACCAGAGAUAGUCUUCACCCAAUCUCUCUUACACGAGAACUUAGAGGCCUUAAGAAUUUCCCACGCCUUGUCCAAAAGCCAAUCUGAAUCAGAAGUUGGAAGUCUCCGGACACCAGCCGUGGCAUAAAGAUAAACAGAAGUGGUCUUAUGAGCAUGCUUGGGUAUUUGUUUCUCAGCCCAUCGAAGGAGCAGUUGUAUUGCUUUUCUCAAAGCUAUCUCAUUCCUAACAAGCUUGUCAAAGCCAGGUUCUGUUUCCAUCCUAUUGUAAGCACGACCAUUCUUAACAGUGUUUUUGGUAUCUUGACCUCCCUUGGGCAAUGACCAUAUAGUAAUCGGCAGACCACUAUUGCCUUUCAUUGAAUUCAUACUCCAUUCGUAAACAUAAACCCUAGUGCCAGUACUACCGCAAUCCAUGAUAACAUUAUAGUUGGAUUUCACACGAGAAAAAUACCCACCAAAAAAGAAAAAACAGGUGGAAGCAACCGAAAAUAGUAUGAAGAAGCAAACAAGUAUGAGCGCGCGUACCCAUUUUCUCUUAUAAGUUAGCAAACCAAUCAUAGAAGUACCCUUCUCCUUGGAGAAGCUCGCACCUCCUGCACUGUCCCUAAGCAACUCAUUUCUUAGUUUCUUGUUGUUCGCGUAGAUCCGAUUGAAACCCUCUCUACUAUGAUCCCCAAUUUCCGAAUCCAACCUGGAGAAAUCCUGCAAAGAUGCCGACAACCUGAUGGGCUUCCUCUGGCCAUUACAAGAAUAGGUCUGUCCACUGGACGAAGCCAAAUCCGACGAUGACGAUGGAGACCUAGUCGAGGAUUGUAGUGGCACCAAAGGGCUUACCAGCGCGGUUAAGAUUGUAUUCAAUUUAUCAAACGGCAUAACAAAAACGCGAGAGUCUUCCUUUCCAGUGGAUGGACUACACUCGUUCGGUCCCCUAUAUUAACAGAUUGCCGCAUCGACGACGAGGAAAAUCGAAUUCCGAGACAAAAAAAAAAAAAAAAAAAGAAGUAAAAGCCCCAAUUCACGAAAGAGAAAAAUCCAGACCUGACUCCUGAUUGAUGCGAAAGCGAUGAAAAGUUAAGAACAGAAGACAAGAAGCAUCGGAGGCCUGUAGUCGACCGGGAAACUGAUGAUAGUUUUUUCACUUGCCAUUAUCUUUCUAAAUAGCCUCAACGAAUAUAGUUAGUGAGAAACCUCGUUGGACAAUUGGGUAAUUUUACUAAAA
rnacentral:lncRNA from 1 species